rnacentral:tRNA from 1 species
GGAGGGAUGGCCGAGUGGUUUAAGGCAGUGGUCUUGAAAACCACCGUGCCGCUUUGCGGUACCGUGGGUUCGAAUCCCACUCCCUCCG